rnacentral:rRNA from 1 species
CGGAGGAUCCAAGCGUUGUCCGGAUUUAUUGGGUUUAAAGGGUGCGUAGGCGGAUCUUUAAGUCAGUGGUGAAAGCCUGCAGCUUAACUGUAGAACAGCCAUUGAACUGAAGAUCUUGAAUUAGGUUAAAGUAGGCGGAAUGUAUCAUGUAGCGGUGAAAUGCUUAGAUAUGAUACAGAACACCGAUAGCGAAGGCAGCUUGCUGAACCUAUAUUGACGCUGAGGCACGAAAGCGUGGGGGAGCAAACAGGAUUAGAUACCCUGGUAGUCCACGCCCUAAACGUUGAUUACUCGUUGUUGGCGAUAUACUGUCAGCGACCAAGCUAAAGCGUUAAGUAAUCCACCUGGGAAGUACGACCGCAAGGUUG